AUUGAACGCUAGCGGGAUGCCUUACACAUGCAAGUCGAGCGGAGUGGCGAACGGGUGAGUAAUGUAUCGGAACGUGCCCAGUAGCGGGGGAUAACUACGCGAAAGCGUAGCUAAUACCGCAUACUAUUGGAGCGGCCGAUAUCGGAUUAGCUAGUUGGUGGGGGAACGGCUCACCAAGUCGACGAUCCGUAGCGGGUUUGAGAGGACGACCAGCCACACUGGGACUGAGACACGGCCCAGACUCCUACGGGAGUCAGCAGUGGGGAAUUUGUGACAAUGGGGGAAACCCUGAUCCAGCCUUCCCGCGUGUGCGAUGAAGGCCUUCGGGUUGUAAAGCACUUUUGGCAGGAAAGCCGUACCUGCACGAUAAGCACCGGCUAACUACGUGCCAGCCGCCGCGGUAAUUC
rnacentral:rRNA from 1 species